CCUACGGGCGGCAGCAGUGCGGAAUAUUGGUCAUUGGGCUGGAGCCUGAACCCGCCAAGUCGCGUUAGGGAAGACGGUCCUAUGGAUUGUAAACCUCUUUAGGCGGGGAGCAAUGCCGGGCACGCGUGCCCGGCGGGAGAGUACCCGCAGAAUAAGCAUCGGCUAACUCCGUGCCAGCAGCCGCGGUAAUACGGAGGAUGCGAGCGUUAUCCGGAUUUAUUGGGUUGAAAGGGUGCGUAGGCGGAUUUUUAAGUCAGCGGUGAAAUGUCCGGGCUCAACCCGGGCCGGCCGUUGAAACUGGGGAGCUUGAGUGGGCGAGAAGUAUGCGGAAGGCGUGGUGUAGCGGUGAAAUGCAGAGAUAUCACGCAGAACUCCGAUUGCGAAGGCAGCAUACCGGCGCCCGACUGACGCUGAGGCACGAAAGCGUGGGGAUCGAACAGGAUUAGAUACCCCAGUAGUC
rnacentral:rRNA from 1 species